rnacentral:lncRNA from 1 species
AGUAAUCCUUAGGAAUUGCAUGUCAGAUUAACAGCCAGGUUAAGUCUGGGCUUUCUUCAUUGCUGAAAUUUGUUUCGUCACACGGAAAACUUCAGAACAAUCAAAGUUCAUGGUCAGUUUGGUGUACAGUGGUUUACUGGUUUUGCAGUCAUUUUCCAGUUGAGAGAUGUGCUGAAAUGGAGCUUGUGCAGUCUUGCAGUUGAACAUCAUACUUUAAUGUGUCAUUUGCCUAUGCUGGUGUCCAUGCAGUGUUGGUAAAAUGGUCAAUGUUUCCUGAUGGCUGUCGGUCUUAUUUUAUCGGCUGCAUUUUGCCGAGUUGUCGUCUUUUGCUACCUGUACCGGCGUUUAGUUUAAUCGUUUGCCGCCGUUCCAAUCGUUCCAUAGACUCGAUCCAUUGGUAACACUGAGGAGAGUUUGCGAAGAUUCAAGACUCGUCAAUAAAUCAUGUAGAUUUAGACAAUUUACAAGUGCAUAUCUGGGCUCCCUUCUUCAGUGGCCCCGUUUCCCUAAAUAACCACUAACCAACGCCCGCCGGUGGUCACUCACUCGCUGCGACAACCAGGAGGAAGAGAGAUGUUUGGUCGAACGGGGACUUGCAAGGCGCAUGACUCGAUGAAAUCUGUUAGAGGGUCAUGAGUCUAAGCCGGAAGCCUACUAUGAUACACUGCUCUCAUAAUAACUGCUCCUCAGCUCUCUUCGCUCUUUUUCCGGUUUCUCUUAACCAUGGCCGGGUAAUCUCCCUGGUCGAGUCAGUCGGGCAGUGUCUCCCCCUGCUUGACCGGCUGCAGCUUGUACCGGACGGUUUGUUUAAUAAAUAAAACAAG